rnacentral:rRNA from 1 species
UACAGAGGUGCCAAGCGUUGUCCGGAUUGACUGGGCGUAAAGCGCACGCAGGCGGAUGCGCGCGUGGGGUGUGAAAUCUGGCCGCUUAACGGCCAGGCGCCAUCCCAUACGGCGCGUCUGGAGUGAUGCAGAGGUCGGUGGAAUUGCCGGUGUAGAGGUGAAAUGCGUAGAGAUCGGCAGGAACACCCAGGGGGAAACCAGCCGACUGGGCAUCUACUGACGCUGAGGUGCGAGAGCGUGGGGAGCGAACCGG